CCCUUAGAUGUUCUGGGCCGCACGCGUGCUACACUGGGUGGAUCAGCGGGUCAGGUUGCGCGAAAGUGUUUCCUAAUCUUGAAAUCCGCUCGUGAUGGGGAUUGACGGUUGCAAUUUUCCGUCAUGAACGAGGAAUACCUUGUAAGCGCGGGUCAUCAUCCCGCGCUGAAUACGUCCCUGCCCUUUGUACACACCGCCCGUCGCUCCUACCGAUUGAGUGGUCCGGUGAGGCUUUGGGAUCUGAGCAAAAAGAGCGUUUCGCUCGUUUGGCUCGGAAAACUCAGUCGAACCUUAUCAUUUAGAGGAAGGAGAAGUCGUAACA
rnacentral:rRNA from 1 species